GCAAUUAAUAAUGCUUUUGUCAAAAGAGCAAAGUGAUUUAGUUCUUCCACCCGCGAAAGAAUGGGAAUUGAGGGCGAUAAAACAGCUGAUGCCAAAUAAUACUGCUAUAUGUAAAACAAGUAGUACGAAAAGCCCGAAAAAAGGUUAAUUCUCUACAAACGAAAUGUUGUACUAAAGCGGACAAGAUUGAAUUAAAUACUUUAGAAUCUGAAGAAGAUGACGUUAUUAUCAUCGAAGACGAUGUCGAUAAAUUAGAUGACCACAAACAGGAUGGAGAAAAAGAAAAUAUUGACGCCAAAAAUGCUCCCUUACAAAGAAAGAUAAAAACAAGGACUAAAAUAUUUAAAACUGAAAAAUUAUCUGAUUACAAAAAAAGCGUGAUUGCACUAAAGCAGAAGAAAAUGAAAAUCAUGUCCGAGGCUUUGGAAUAUCAAAAAAUGAGAGAUAAACUCCAAUAUAGCAUCCUUAAUAAAAUUAACAAUAAUUUAUCUAAGUCAUAAAUCUACAUCUUUA